UCAGGAUAGAAACGUCCUUUGACUGCGCUGAUAGUCGGUGUUGUGUUAAAGGAAAGAGAUAGUUUUCAAACGGUAACACUUUCUUCCUUGAGAGGUAAUGCGGGUACGUCCGUACCCAGAAUCCCCGAGAUCUCGCGUGGCGUGUUUCCGGUCGCUGUGCUCUCGCCUGAGCAGUAGGGCGAGGCUCGGCGGUCCGGAAACUUUUCCUUCCGCUCCCGCUCUCGCAGGAUCGUCACCCGAGGCCUCUUUACCUCCGCAAAUUAAGUGUCCCUGUAUUCUUUGAUUGUAAGAAGAAUCCUGCUCUCUUUUUUUUUUUUAAUGCCUGCUCCCUGCAAAACUGUCCAAUAAUGAGAAGACUGAAGCAUAGAUUGAAUAACUUGUUGAAGGUCAAGAAACUUUUUGAAGGUCAAGCAACUAAUUUGACUUAGUAAAGUCAAAUGCGGGCAGUUUGGUCCCAGAGCCUGUGCUGUUAACCUCUUAUGUUGAAUUGCCUCUCCACAGUAUGCAGUCUGCUCAUCUAUAAGGGACAUGCCGUUCAAUUUGCCUGUACCACUUCCUCAUGUUCCAGUCUACAUCCUUAUCUUUUAUUAGUGAGCAGGUACCCACUUAACCCUCUUCCCUCCCCUACCAUAGCUGAUUGGACCAGGAGUAGGAUUCAAAUCGGUCCAAUGAGAUUCUCUCUUGAGAAAUUUGCAAUUCAUCUUACCUGGUCUCGACCUAGAAAGUGAUGACACUAGCACAUAAGGGAGGGAGAGAUGUCUGACCCACAUCAGAGAGCGGCAGACAGACAGACAGCAGAAGACUUACAAAGCCUUGGGUUCCCAGAAGUGAGUGGUAGGGAAGUUAGUUGCCUGGGGUUCUGGAACUUUCUGGGUCCUGGUUUGCCCUACUAAGCCUAUCUACACAAGGUACUACUCUUCAAAUAAACUUCUCUUUCAAUUUAAAGUCA